rnacentral:lncRNA from 1 species
GCCGUCCUUGCGCGGCGUGAUUGUCGGUGAGUCAGGUUAAAUUCUUAAAUAGGUCGCGCCUGCGCCUAAUUGAGUCUAUAAAAGCCUGCACAUUCAGUUUUGCUAGCUACAAUGCAGUGCGGCUGGCGUGAGCUGUCUCCACGAUGCGCUUCGAGCGUGUCGAUUUCGCCGUUCUUUAUGUUGGCGUUAACGACCUUGAAAGCAACAUGGAUCCACAAGAAAUGUGCGACAACAUCAAGGCCUUGAUUGUUCAACGAGACGGCCCCCGUCGUGCUGGUUUUCAAGGUGCUCCCUCGCUGCCUAGAAGAUGCUGAUGCGGAUAGAAAAUGCAAAAACGUCGCUUGCUCAACCGCAAAUUGACGGCUACGCUGAAGCGCAUGCCGUGUCUGCGGAAUUUGAACCCCGAGGUAUGGACCCCCUUUUUCCAGCGGCAUGCCGUUACAUACCGUCAGGAACACGCUUGGCUUAUUUCUGACUCGGUAAAAAAUGUUUCACUUUU